rnacentral:rRNA from 1 species
AGUGAACGCUGGCGGUAGGCCUAACACAUGCAAGUCGAACGGCAGCACAGGAGAGCUUGCUCUCCGGGUGGCGAGUGGCGGACGGGUGAGGAAUACAUCGGAAUCUACUUUUUCGUGGGGGAUAACGUAGGGAAACUUACGCUAAUACCGCAUACGACCUACGGGUGAAAGCAGGGGACCUUCGGGCCUUGCGCGAUUGAAUGAGCCGAUGUCGGAUUAGCUAGUUGGCGGGGUAAAGGCCCACCAAGGCGACGAUCCGUAGCUGGUCUGAAGGGAUGAUCAGCCACACUGGAACUGAGACACGGGCCAGACUCCUACGGGAGGCAGAAGUGGGGAAUAUUGGACAAUGGGCGCAAGCCUGAUCCAGCCAUACCGCGUGGGUGAAGAAGGCCUUCGGGUUGUAAAGCCCUUUUGUUGGGAAAGAAAUCCAGCUGGCUAAUACCCGGUUGGGAUGACGGUACCCAAAGAAUAAGCACCGGCUAACUUCGUGCCAGCCGCCGCAGUAA